rnacentral:misc_RNA from 1 species
AACUUUUAGCAAUGGAUCACGUGGCUCUCGCAUCGAUGAAGAACGCAGCGAAAUGCGAUAAGUAAUGUGAAUUGCAUAAUUCAGUGAAUCAUCGAAUCUUUGAACGCACCUUGCGCUCCUUGGUAUUCCGAGGAGCAUGCCUGUUUGAGUGUCAUUAAUAUAUAUCAAACUUCUCUUGUUGAGUUGUUUGGAUGUGGGGGUUUGCUGGCCUCUUAAAAGGGGUUCAGCUCUCCUGAAAUGCAUUAGCAGAACAACCUGUUCAUUGGUGUGAUAAACUAUCUACGCUAUUGAAUGUGAAGGGCAGUUCAGCUUUCUAACAGUCCUUGGACAAAUUCAUCAUUAAUGUGACCUCAAAUCAGGUAGGACUACCCGCUGAACUUAAGCAUAUCAAUAAGCGGAGGCU